rnacentral:rRNA from 1 species
AUUGAACGCUGGCGGCAGGCCUAACACAUGCAAGUCGAGCGGAUGAAGGGAGCUUGCUCCUGGAUUCAGCGGCGGACGGGUGAGUAAUGCCUAGGAAUCUGCCUGGUAGUGGGGGAUAACGUCCGGAAACGGGCGCUAAUACCGCAUACGUCCUGAGGGAGAAAGUGGGGGAUCUUCGGACCUCUCGCUAUCAGAUGAGCCUAGGUCGGUUUAGCUGGUUGGUGGGGUAAAGGCCUACCAAGGCGACAAUCCGUAACUGGUCCAAGGGGAGGAUCAGUCAACGGGAACUGAGGAACGGUUCCAACUCCUGAAGGGAGGCACCGGCGGGAAUUAUAGGGGAGGGGGCAAAGGCUUAUACAGGCCAAGCGGCGUGAGGGAGAACGUCCUACGAAUGGUAAGGCAUUUAAGUUGGGAGGAAGGGCAGUAAGUUAAUACCUUGCUGUUUUGACGGUACCAACAGAAUAAGCACCGGCUAACUUCGUG